CCUACGGGUGGCAGCAGUGAGGAAUAUUGGUCAAUGGACGAGAGUCUGAACCAGCCAAGUAGCGUGAAGGAUGACUGCCCUAUGGGUUGUAAACUUCUUUUAUAUGGGAAUAAAACGUUCCACGUGUGGGAUUUUGUAUGUACCAUAUGAAUAAGGAUCGGCUAACUCCGUGCCAGCAGCCGCGGUAAUACGGAGGAUCCGAGUGUUAUCCGGAUUUAUUGGGGUUAAAGGGAGCGUAGGUGGAUUGUUAAGUCAGUUGUGAAAGUUUGCGGCUCAACCGUAAAAUUGCAGUUGAAACUGGCAGUCUUGAGUACAGUAGAGGUGGGCGGAAUUCGUGGUGUAGCGGUGAAAUGCUUAGAUAUCACGAAGAACUCCGAUUGCGAAGGCAGUUCACUGGACUGCAACUGACACUGAGGCUCGAAAGUGUGGGUAUCAAACAGGAUUAGAUACCCUUGUAGUC
rnacentral:rRNA from 1 species